rnacentral:rRNA from 1 species
GGGGACUUAAGGGAAUUGUGGGGGACAGCCUGAUCCAGCCAUGCCGCGUGCAGGAUGAAGGCCUUCGGGUUGUAAACUGCUUUUGUACGGAACGAAAAAGUCUUGUCUAAUACACGGGGGCGAAUGACGGUACCGUAAGAAUAAGCACCGGCUAACUACGUGCCAGCAGCCGCGGUAAUACGUAGGGUGCGAGCGUUAAUCGGAAUUACUGGGCGUAAAGCGUGCGCAGGCGGUUAUGUAAGACAGAUGUGAAAUCCCCGGGCUCAACCUGGGAACUGCAUUAGUGACUGCAUAGCUAGAGUGCGGCAGAGGGGGAUGGAAUUCCGCGUGUAGCAGUGAAAUGCGUAGAUAUGCGGAGGAACACCGAUGGCGAAGGCAAUCCCCUGGGCCUGCACUGACGCUCAUGCACGAAAGCGUGGGGAGCAAACAGGAUUAGAUACCCUGGUAGUCCACGCCCUAAACGAUGUCAACUGGUUGUUGGGUCUUUUCUGACUCAGUAACGAAGCUAACGCGUGAAGUUGACCGCCUGGGGAGUACGGCCCGCCAAGGUUAAAACUCAAAUUU